UCUCUAAUCAGUGAAACUGAUCUCUCCGUGAAGAAGCGGGGAUACUCCUAUAAGACGAAAAGACCCCAUGGAGCUUCAAACCCAACUACACCCUUAACUACCACAACCGCACAACCUCUUAGGGCCCUGUAUAGUUGGUUUUAGGUUGGGGCGACCACGGAGUACAACCAAACCUCCGCAAUGGACGGGACCACUCCCUUAUCUAAGAGCCACACCUCUAAGAAUUAAAACACUAACAUAAAAUGAUCCAUGAUCUGAUCAAUGAACCAAGUUACCCUGGGGAUAACAGCGCAAUCCAUUUCAAGAGCCCUUAUCGACAAGUGGGUUUACGACCUCGAUGUUGGAUCAGGGUAUCCUAGUGGUGCAGCAGCUACUAAUGGUUCGUUUGUUCAACGAUUAAAACCCU
rnacentral:rRNA from 1 species